UCAUGGGAUUGAAAUGCUGGACACACACUGGCUCCCCUGGUGAGCUGUUACCAAACUUCAGCCCUGAAGAGUUUGCGGUGCCCCAGAACCAGCGCCCUUCGCACCACCAUGGCCCGAGUAGGUCCUCCUCUGGAUAAGACCUCAGCACAGCUCUCUUUUCUGAUGCUGCCAGCAGGGAAAUUGGGAGCAUCCUUUCUCCUUCAUCUGGAGAGGUAGCUGAAUAAGGAUUCUUGGAGUUCCUAUUUUCUUCUUUCAACUGAGGAUCAUUCAAAAUCAUCUGUAAGACACUGUGAGUGCCUCACAUUGCCAGAUCUUAACCUAUCCCAGACCCUGCAAACCUUGGCCACAUUUCUGUAGUGCCUACAGCUGUCACAUAGGGCGCUACUCCAGAAUACGGCUGGGUGGACUUCUGCAUGUUCACAGUCAGUGCAUCCAUGGAGAUUAUCUCAGAGGACAGCUUCCUACAGCGUGGAUGAACAGACACACGCCUGUGGCUUUGUUCUCCUUCUUUUUGCAUUGGGUUGACCUGUGUAUCAAUUUGAAAUCCCAAGAAAUCCCUCUUUUUUCCAUUUUGC
rnacentral:lncRNA from 1 species